GCAAUGAGAGUUCAGUGGUAGAAUGCUUGCCUUCCAUGCAGGAGACCCAGGUUCAAUUCCUGGCCAAUGCA